rnacentral:rRNA from 1 species
UGCGCAGGCGGCCUGAUAAGUCAGAGGUGAAAUAUGUCGGCUCAACCGACAAACGGCCCCUGAAACUGUCAGGCUUGAGUCCGGGAGAGGUUGGUGGAAUUCCAGGUGUAGCGGUGAAAUGCGUAAAUAUCUGGAGGAACACCGGUGGCGAAGGCGGCCAACUGGCCCGGUACUGACGCUCAGGCACGAAAGCUAGGGGAGCGAACAGGAUUAGAUACCCUGGUAGUCC